rnacentral:rRNA from 1 species
UACGAAGGGGGCUAGCGUUGCUCGGAAUCACUGGGCGUAAAGGGCGCGUAGGCGGACUCUUAAGUCAGGGGUGAAAGCCUGAGGCUCAACCUCAGAACUGCCCUUGAUACUGAGAGUCUCGAGACCGGUAGAGGUAAGUGGAACUGCGAGUGUAGAGGUGAAAUUCGUAGAUAUUCGCAAGAACACCAGUGGCGAAGGCGGCUUACUGGACCGGUUCUGACGCUGAGGCGCGAAAGCGUGGGGAGCAAACAGG